GGUAGCUUUCAUCUAAGCUGUGAUUCCCUGAGCUCCCCAUGAGGAUAUCGCCUACCUGCACUACCAAAAUAGAGGAAGGAAAGACAGAAGAGGUGACUGUAUAGUAUGGCCACGGAGAGAGCCAGAUUGCCUCAUUUGGGGAAUGAGAAAGUAUAGAAAAUGAAUUCUACCUCAGCUUUUGCAUUGAAACUGAAUUGUGCUGUCCACUGAGAGAGCAGGAACGAGAGAGAGAGCUCAAGAACAAGAUCAUGAACACUUCUGCAACGUGGGUCUGUUUCUCUAUUGACAAAAGGUUACUUCCCUGCUAAAAGCCAUCCCUGGCUUGAGCGCAAACUCGAAGUUACAUGGACCAGCACUUGCUCAAAGAUUCUUCAGAAAACAACUCCCUAAACUGCGGUAUUUGUUAAGAGUGUUCCCUGUGGCCAGUAGCACGAGUGGAUAGAGGAAGCAUCGGUGGGCAGAGAGAAAAGCCACACUGUGGCCUGGACAGUUGGACCACAUGGAGCAUUUGUCUGAAAGAAGAAAUUAAGAUCAUGGCGACACUACGCUCUGCAAGCGUCUUCUAGGACCACGCCCAGAAGCUGCAAAAAAGAGUCCUUCAUUUCAGAAAAUGGGGCAGCACCUCAGAAGAUCCCUACUCACCAACCUCCAGCGUAUGCACGCCCUUUGUGUUUCCUGAAGCCUCUGCCAUUAUUUGAUCACAUUAAUGUUGGGGGAUAUCCAAUCACACUGUGAACCCCGAGUUUGUGUUUGCAUUAAUUAAAUAAAAUUAACCUUGGGUCAGGAGGCUGAGUUUGCAACUAGUUAACAGUAAGUCAUCACAGAGAAUCAGAGGGCAUCUGGAAGUGACAGAGA